CUCCCAACCCAGACUGGACACCUCUGCCUGUCCUCUACUUCAACUCUCAGCCAGGGAGAAAUUUUGACUCGGCCUCACUGGGAUAUAAAGAGCCAGGUUAAUAGCUUGGACAGGAAAGGAAACAGGAAGAGAAAUGCACCUCCUGCAGGUUGCCAUGGAACCCAAGGUGGAGAGUCUCUGUUUCUUCAAAGGAAGACAAGAAGAAGCAAAAACUAAACCAUACCUUGGAAAGGUGGCUUCAUAUGGCAUGGGACUAG